rnacentral:rRNA from 1 species
AACGAACGCUGGCGGCAUGCCUAACACAUGCAAGUCGAACGAGACCUUCGGGUCUAGUGGCGCACGGGUGCGUAACGCGUGGGAAUCUGCCCCUCGGUUCGGAAUAACAGUUAGAAAUGACUGCUAAUACCGGAUGAUGACUUCGGUCCAAAGAUUUAUCGCCGAGGGAUGAGCCCGCGUAAGAUUAGGUAGUUGGUGGGGUAAAGGCCUACCAAGCCGACGAUCUUUAGCUGGUCUGAGAGGAUGAUCAGCCACACUGGGACUGAGACACGGCCCAGACUCGUACGGGAGGCAGCAGUGGGGAAUAUUGGACAAUGGGCGAAAGCCUGAUCCAGCAAUGCCGCGUGAGUGAUGAAGGCCUUAGGGUUGUAAAGCUCCUUUACCAGGGAUGAUAAUGACAGUACCUGGAGAAUAAGCUCCGGCUAACUCCGUGCCAGCCGCCGCAGUAA